GUCGCCGUAGUUUAGUGGUUAGAAUUCCACGUUGUGGCCGUGGAGACCCCGGAUCAAACCCGGGCGGCGACA
rnacentral:tRNA from 1 species